AACACUCAAACACAGGAAAAACACAGACAUCUCUUUUUUUCUCUCUUGCCGUCUCAUGUUCUCUCUCUCUCUACUUCUUUGCUACAUUCUUUCAAGUGAAGGCGAGAGUAGGAUAGGUUUUCUCUUCAUCUCUUUUCCCUGAAUUUAUCGUCAAGAUUUGGGCCUAUUUGAUUGGUUUUUUUUUUUCCUCUAGGAAUUUUUAGCACUAGCAUUAGGAAUGUUGUGAAAUCUGAACUGAAAUUUAGUAAUAUGCGGAUUCAGGUUUUGGAGAAGGCACUGGGUUUUUUUGGUUAAAUUGAGUUUAACUCAUUGAAUGUAUGAAUUGAUUGGUGAAUUUUCAGACUCAGGCAGCAAAGCAAUGGGAUCAAUCAGGGUCACGGUGACAUUGGAGUGCAUGAUUCCCGGAUGAGUCCAAAUGAUCUGCGUUUGAAACUGAUAAACAAAAGAAAGAUGAAGCGAAUUCCAAGGGUUUUUGAAGAGAGAAGGAAGAUGGACCAAAAGUCAAAUUGUCAAAAACUAUUCAGCCUUCAAGGCAUAACAUGCAGCAGCAAAGGUCUGAAUUAAAAGGACGUACUUUCUUGUGGCGAACGCCAGCCACAGAAAGACCUAGAUCCCCAAAUAGAAAUUUGAAAUCUUCUAGGGGACUCUCACCACAAAGAAAUUUCAAUGAGCUGCACCAAGUACCAUCGCUAAGGGUAGCUAAUAAUUCAAGAGCUGGAUGAUUUUUAAGCAAUGAUGGUGCUUCUAGGCCAACAGGACCUUUAAUUGUCAAAGGUCCUUAUACUUCAGACCUAGUCAUGUAGCUUACACCAAUAGGUGGCAUUGGGUAGAAAAGUUUUCAUUCGGUAUGAUUUUUCCCCCCUGCUACCCUGUGUUAGCUUAAUUUAAGAGGAUUUGGUUUGUAUUUGUGAGGUUAUCUAGAUUAACGGUUGUGUAUAAUUGGCAUUGGUCAUCUAAUGUUAUGUAUUCAUCAUGCUCUGUUGAAUGGAAUUUUAAAAGGUGGAAGAAUCUCACACUGUCACUAGCUUGUUGCAAUUGCUUGGUUUGGGGAAAUAUAACAUUCUCUUCCGGGCUGAAAAGGGACCGAGAAAGAAGAUUCUUCUUGCUCUGUGGCCUCGUUCUAGAUGAGAACAACCAUAGCUGCAAACAUUUAUUGCCUGCACUUUGGAGAGUAUUUGUUACAUCUGUAACUUAUAGCUUGAGUAAAUAUUGACAAGCAUGGGGAGUAUUAAGUAUUUUUUAAGUGGAGAUAUAAGUGUGUUGCUUUUCAAGAACCAGAAAUCUGUCUUGGAGAAAAAAAUGAAACGGUUUAUAUAUGUAAUGGCAUAUGGAAGAUUGUGCUAGUGAAACAUCUAAC